GGUGAACCGGGCUUCGGCCUGGGGAUCAGUGGCGAACGGGUGCGUAACACGUGGGCAACCUGCCCCAGACUCAGGGAUAACCCCGGGAAACCGGGGCUAAUACCCGAUACUCCGGUCGAACCACAUGGCUCGAUCGGGAAAGCUCCGACGGUCUGGGAUGGGCCCGCGGCCUAUCAGCUUGUUGGUGGGGUAACGGCCUACCAAGGCGACGACGGGUAGCUGGUCUGAGAGGACGACCAGCCACACUGGAACUGAGAUACGGUCCAGACUCCUACGGGAGGCAGCAGUGGGGAAUCUUGCACAAUGGGCGAAAGCCUGAUGCAGCGACGCCGCGUGGGGGAUGAAUGCCUUCGGGUUGUAAACCCCUUUCGGCAGGGACGAAGCGCAAGUGACGGUACCUGCAGAAGAAGCUCCGGCUAACUACGUGCCAGCAGCCGCGGUAAGACGUAGGGAGCGAGCGUUGUCCGGAUUCAUUGGGCGUAAAGCGCGCGUAGGCGGUUUGGCAAGUCGGAUGUGAAAUCCCGAGGCUCAACCUCGGGACUGCAUCCGAUACUGCCCGACUAGAGGUAGGUAGGGGAGAUCGGAAUUCCUGGUGUAGCGGUGAAAUGCGCAGAUAUCAGGAGGAACACCGGUGGCGAAGGCGGAUCUCUGGGCCUUACCUGACGCUGAGGCGCGAAAGCUAGGGGAGCGAACAGGAUUAGAUACCCUGGUAGUCCUAGCCGUAAACGUUGGGUGCUAGGUGUGGGCGGAUAUCGACCCCGUCCGUGCCGAAGCUAACGCAUUAAGCACCCCGCCUGGGGAGUACGGCCGCAAGGCUAAAACUCAAAGGAAUUGACGGGGCCCCGCACAAGCGGCGGAGCAUGCGGCUUAAUUCGAUGCGACGCGAAGAACCUUACCUGGGUUUGACAUGCAGGGUGAAACCCGUGAAAG
rnacentral:rRNA from 1 species